CCGCGGACACGUGACUACCGCGGGCACGGGACGGGCGGCGUGACCGCCCCGCCCCCCGGCGCCCGCCCCUCCUGCUGCUCAGCCAGGCUCCGCGAGCCGCAGGGCGGGGAAGCGGGACGUACCAAGCGGCAGGCGGCGGAGGGGUGCGGGCCGGAACUCCGCCCUUCGUGCUGGUCGGUCUCCACGCCCCACUCGGACUAGUGUCACCGCCUCCCCGCCGCAGACACUAUCCGACAAAGGAGGGGGAAUCAAAGGCUGGGCGAAGAGGCAGGGCAGGCGCCGGUGACGCUGCUGGGCAAGCGGGCUCUGCAGUAGCAUUUGUGGCGACCGUGGCAGUGGCUGUGACUGGAAGCUUCUGGAAAUGGCGGCGAUGAGGACCCCCACAUAGGGUAUUCACCUGUUAUUUUUACACGGGGUGGGUGGACGAGCGUGAUCCAACUCAGGCAAAAUGACGCUGCGACCGCAGCCCGAGGACUAGGCGAAGUUCCCCCGCUAAGCCGGCGGCGGCCGUCUGGCCCCGCACCAGGCCGGAGAAGCUGCACCUACGCCCAGAGCCCGCGGCCCCCCGCCUCAGGUGGGGCCCUGGGCCCCGCCCCGAAAGCGCGGUAGCGUGCACCUGCCCUGGCACCAGGGGGUCUAGAGCGCGUCCCCUCCCAGCCACGCCUUCCAGUGGCCUUUUUAAAGAGGAAUUCAGUGCACCCUCCCACACGUAGUGUUGGGGAUUUGAGAGGGAGCUGCUCAGGUACUAGGAAGGGUGCCGGAGGAAAAUUGACCGUCGCAGCGUGGCAGCAGCGUGUACUCACUCCCUUCUGGGCGCGUUAUUUACGUAGAGGUUAAUCUGCAACAACAGCGUCUGUUUAUGACUUAGUGCAUGCAGUUACAAGUUUAUGUUACACUGUCCUUUAACGUCUUGAUGAACUGAGGGUUCAGGUGUGAUCACAGCAGAUGAAGUGACAUUCAGACCUGACAGGGACGGCGAGGUCCCAUCAAAUUACUAUGUAAAGCAUAAACCUGCAUUAAAGAUCAGGAGUUUUUCCUUUCCUGGGUUCCUGAUUUCUCCCACCUACAAAUCUUUAGGGUCAACAAGACUAGAAAAAGAGCACCUUAUGGCUAGAGGUGGAAUAGUGUUACAUUUAACUUGGUUAUUUAUGAUGUGAAAUACAAAGAAAAAAACAGUCGCCUAUGAGAAAGUCAGGAGAGCUCCAGGGAUGGCCAUAGCAGCCACAAAAGGAAGCAAACAAGAACAAGUCCUGAUGGAGCAAUUUAUGAAGACAGGCAGCAUAGAGGGAGAAGAACCUGUCUGUCAACCCCACACACGCUUUCCCAGACGUCUCCUGAAAGCUGAGCAUUUGUUAUCUUAAAGCCUCUUACCAGUUUGGAUAGAUAUGGAUCUUCCAAAAUUAAUGAGCUCCUUAAUAUCGACACUGUUUAUCAACAUAAAGGAUCAAUUUAGGAAGAUUAUAAAAACUGAAGUUUCCGGAACAAUAAAUGGGAGAAUUAAUCUUCUGAAUCAAGGACGUAUCCCUGAAUCUGGGGAGCUCUCUAUCAAAAUAUACAUGCUGGAACCCUACCAAAGGAAUAAUAAAUCUGGAAUGAGGCUCUGACUGUCUAAUUAGGAAAAGACUCCUUCCUGGAAUUCUGCACAUCUCCCUACACCUUAGUGACGGUUAAAUAAAUAAUUAUUAAGCUUCUGGAUAUUUUUUGUUGUAAGGAGAGUUAUUUUACAAAUGGAGAUUCAA
rnacentral:lncRNA from 1 species